rnacentral:rRNA from 1 species
GCGCACGGGUGAGUAACACGUGAGCAACCUGCCGGGAAGCCCGGGAUAGCCCUCCGAAAGGAGGAUUAAUACCGGAUGUGGCCACCCUGCGAUUGCAGGGGAAGCUAAAGGAUUUAUUCACUUCCCGAGGGGCUCGCGGCCCAUCAGCUUGUUGGUGAGGGUAACGGCCCACCAAGGCGACAACGGGUAGCUGGUCUGAGAGGAUGGUCAGCCACACUGGAACUGAGACACGGUCCAGACACCUACGGGUGGCAGCAGUCGAGAAUCAUUCGCAAUGGGGGAAACCCUGACGAUGCGACGCCGCGUGGAGGAUGAAGGCCUUAGGGUUGUAAACUCCUGUCAAGAGGGAAUAAGCAAGUGAAGGUACCUCUAGAGGAAGGGGCGGCUAAUUCCGUGCCAGCAGCCGCGGUAACACGGAAGCCCCGAGCGUUGUUCGGAUUCAUUGGGCGUAAAGGGUGCGUAGGCGGCGCGGAAAGUCCGGCGUGAAAGGCAGGGGCUCAACCUCUGGACUGCGUUGGAUACUUCCGUGCUUGAGGACUGGAGGGGAGACUGGAAUUCACGGUGUAGCAGUGAAAUGCGUAGAUAUCGUGAGGAAGACCGGUGGCGAAGGCGAGUCUCUGGACAGAUCCUGACGCUGAGGCACGAAGGCUGGGGGAGCGAACAGGAUUAGAUACCCUGGUAGUCCCAGCAGUAAACGAUGUGAGCUUGAUGUGGGGGGAUUCGACCCCUUCCGUGUCGAAGCUAACGCGAUAAGCUCACCGCGUGAGGAGUUCGGCCGCAAGGCUAAAACUCAUAGAAAUUGACGGGGACCCGCACAAGCGGUGGAGUAUGUGGCUUAAUUCGAUGCAACGCGAAGAACCUUACCUGGCCUUGACAUGCAUUGUGUCGUCGGUGAAAGCCGGCUAGUCCUGGAAACAGGACGCUUUGCACAGGUGUUGCAUGGCAGUGGUCAGCUGGUGUCGUGAGAUGUUGGGUUAAGUCUCGCAUCGAGCGCAACCCUUGUGGUCAGUUACUAACGGAGCUUAGCCGGAGGACUCUGGCCAGACUGCCCUGUCAAACGGGGAGGAAGGUGGGGAGGACGUCAAGUCAGUAUGGCCCUUAUGGCCAGGGCUGCACACGUACUACAAUGCCCGGUACAAUGUAACCGAAACCUCGAGGUGGAGGAAAUCGCU